GCACAAGCGGUGGAGCAUGUGGUUUAAUUCGACGCAACGCGAAGAACCUUACCAGGGCUUGACAUCCCCUGACCGUCUAUGAAAGUAGGCUUUCUACCUUCGGGUAGACAGGGAGACAGGUGGUGCAUGGUUGUCGUCAGCUCGUGUCGUGAGAUGUUGGGUUAAGUCCCGCAACGAGCGCAACCCUUACGGUUAGUUGCCAGCGGGUUAUGCCGGGCACUCUAGCUGAACUGCCGUUGACAAAACGGAGGAAGGUGGGAUGACGUCAAAUCAUCAUGCCCUUUAUGUCCUGGGCUACACACGUGCUACAAUGGCCUGUACAGAGGGAAGCGAAAGGGUGACCUGGAGCGAAUCCCAAAAAGCAGGUCUCAGUUCGGAUUGCAGGCUGCAACCCGCCUGCAUGAAGUCGGAAUCGCUAGUAAUCGCAGGUCAGCAUACUGUGGUGAAUACGUUCCCGGGCCUU
rnacentral:rRNA from 1 species